UACGUAGGGUGCAAGCGUUAAUCGGAAUUACUGGGCGUAAAGCGUGCGCAGGCGGCUUUGCAAGACAGAUGUGAAAUCCCCGGGCUCAACCUGGGAACUGCAUUUGUGACUGCAAGGCUAGAGUACGGCAGAGGGGGAUGGGAUUCCGCGUGUAGCAGUGAAAUGCGUAGAUAUGCGGAGGAACACCGAUGGCGAAGGCAAUCCCCUGGGCCUGUACUGACGCUCAUGCACGAAAGCGUGGGGAGCAAACAGG
rnacentral:rRNA from 1 species